rnacentral:rRNA from 1 species
GUAGGUGGCAAGCGUUGUCCGGAAUUGUUGGGGCGUAAAGCGCGCGCAGGUGGUUCUUUAAGUCUGAUGUGAAAGCCCCCCGGGCUCAACCGGGGGAGGGUCAUUGGAAACUGGGGAACUUGAGUGCAGGAGAGGAAAGUGGAAUUCCACGUGUAGCGGUGAAAUGCGUAGAUAUGUGGAGGAACACCAGUGGCGAAGGCGACUUUCUGGCCUGUAACUGACACUGAGGCGCGAAAGCGUGGGGAGCAAACAGGAUUAGAUACCCUGGUAGUCCACGCCGUAAACGAUGAGUGCUAAGUGUUGGGGGGGUUUCCGCCCCUCAGUGCUGCAGCUAACGCAUUAAGCACUCCGCCUGGGGAGUACGGUCGCAAAGACUGA